GCAUGAACAUUUUCUAUUCUUCAUAGGUGGCAUGAAACAUCCUGUUUGUAAGCAUAUGCAUAAGGAAUGCUCUUGGCACACCUUGAUAAGUUACUUUGGCCUAAACAUCGAUUGCGUCUUGUAAAAACCUAAAUGGCAGCUCAGAAAAGGAAGUCUAUGUUAGUAGAGUCUUCUGCUAAACGUCCAAAGCUGGACAAGAACAGCAAACCGUCUUCAUCAAAGAAGGAAAAAGAGGUGUCGGAUACAAAACAUGGCUCAAAUAAAUCAAAGCCCAAUCAGUGUGCAGUGCAGGAGAAAACUGUACUCAAAACCUCUGUCAAAUCAAACAGUGAUAACACCAAUGAACCUGAAGUAGGAACACGCAUGACUACAAGAUCAUCAGCAGUCAACUCAAAUAAUAAAAUAAUACCUGGCAAAACAGUCCAGCAGCAGCAGCCUAAAUCUGCAAAAAAUAAGGAGGUAUGCCAGAAAAAAUCCGGGCAAGAAGUUCCCAAGUCAAAAUGCGUAAUUGUGCCAAAUGAGCCAGUAACGAGGAGAUCACAAAGACUGCAGCAGUUAACCCAUGUACAUGUUCCAGCAAGAUCCCUGCGCAGCAGAGAAGUUAAAGAAGAAAAAACUUCCGAUGUUAAGCACAGUAGCCAUGCGAAAAGGCCCGCUCACAGUGGUGCAACAAAACCACUGAAAUCUGCUGGGGGGAAAACAGAACAGAAAACCACAAAGAUAAAGUCAAACAGUACAAAUGAGGUUAAGGAAAUAAAUGUAGAAGUGACCAGCUCUUUGGAAAAGUGUAAAGCAGACAGUAAAAAGGAUAAUUCUAAUAGCUUUCAACACAGUCUUCGAGGGUCCUCAUCAUGUCCAGAUGAGAGUCUUGAGGAAGCCAAGAAAGACCAAACAGGCCCUGUAUCUCCUAAUUCUGGCAACACAAAGAAAGUUGAAACUGAUUCUCUC
rnacentral:lncRNA from 1 species